rnacentral:rRNA from 1 species
GAGCCAGACUCCUACGGGAGGCAGCAGUGGGGAAUAUUGCACAAUGGGGGGAACCCUGAUGCAGCGACGCCGCGUGGGUGAAGGAGUCCUUCGGUACGUAAAGCCCUAUCAGCAGGAAAGAAAAUGACGGUACCUGACUAAGAAGCCCCGGCUAACUACGUGCCAGCAGCCGCGGUAAUACGUAGGGGGCAAGCGUUAUCCGGAUUUACUGGGUGUAAAGGGAGCGUAGACGGCAGUGCAAGUCCGGAGUGAAAGCCCGGGGCUCAACCCUGGGACUGCUCUGGAAACUGUAAAGCUGGAGUGCGGGAGGGGCAGGCGGAAUUCCUGGUGUAGCGGUGAAAUGCGUAGAUAUCAGGAGGAACACCGGCGGCGAAGGCGGCCUGCUGGACCGCGACUGACGUUGAGGCUCGAAAGCGUGGGGAGCGAACAGGAUUAGAUACCCCGGUAUG